GGGUACUCGAGCGGCGAACGGGUGAGUAACACGUGAGCAACCUGCCCUAGGCUUUGGGAUAACCCCGGGAAACCGGGGCUAAUACCGGAUAUUCACUUGCGGACGCAUGUUUGUGGGUGGAAAGUUUUUCGGCUUGGGAUGGGCUCGCGGCCUAUCAGCUUGUUGGUGGGGUGAUGGCCUACCAAGGCGACGACGGGUAGCCGGCCUGAGAGGGCGACCGGCCACACUGGGACUGAGACACGGCCCAGACUCCUACGGGAGGCAGCAGUGGGGAAUAUUGCACAAUGGGCGGAAGCCUGAUGCAGCGACGCCGCGUGAGGGAUGACGGCCUUCGGGUUGUAAACCUCUUUCAGCAGGGACGAAGCGCGAGUGACGGUACCUGCAGAAGAAGCGCCGGCCAACUACGUGCCAGCAGCCGCGGUAAGACGUAGGGCGCGAGCGUUGUCCGGAUUUAUUGGGCGUAAAGAGCUCGUAGGCGGCUUGUCGCGUCGACUGUGAAAACCCGUGGCUCAACUGCGGGCCUGCAGUCGAUACGGGCAGGCUAGAGUUCGGUAGGGGAGACUGGAAUUCCUGGUGUAGCGGUGAAAUGCGCAGAUAUCACGAGGAACA
rnacentral:rRNA from 1 species